rnacentral:rRNA from 1 species
GACGAACGCUGGCGGCGUGCCUAACACAUGCAAGUCGAACGGGGAUACUAAAGGAAGUUUUCGGAUGGAAUUUGGUAUCUUAGUGGCGGACGGGUGAGUAACGCGUGAGCAAUCUGCCUUUCAGAGAGGGAUAACGGCUGGAAACGGCCGCUAAUACCACAUGAUAUAUCGGGGUGACAUCGCCUUGAUAUCAAAGGAGCAAUCCGCUGAAAGAUGAGCUCGCGUCCGAUUAGAUAGUUGGCGGGGUAACGGCCCACCAAGUCUGCGAUCGGUAGCCGGACUGAGAGGUUGAACGGCCACAUUGGGACUGAGAUACGGCCCAGACUCCUACGGGAGGCAGCAGUGGGGAAUAUUGGUCAAUGGGGGAAACCCUGAACCAGCAACGCCGCGUGAAGGAAGAAGGCCUUCGGGUUGUAAACUUCUUUGACGAGGGACGAUAAUGACGGUACCUCGAAAACAAGCCACGGCUAACUACGUG